AAAUUGAAGAGUUUGAUCAUGGCUCAGAUUGAACGCUGGCGGCAGGCCUAACACAUGCAAGUCGAACGGUAACAGGAAUCAGCUUGCUGAUUUGCUGACGAGUGGCGGACGGGUGAGUAAUGUCUGGGAAGCUGCCUGAUGGAGGGGGAUAACUACUGGAAACGGUAGCUAAUACCGCAUAAUGUCGCAAGACCAAAGAGGGGGACCUUCGGGCCUCUUGCCAUCGGAUGUGCCCAGAUGGGAUUAGCUAGUAGGUGGGGUAACGGCUCACCUAGGCGACGAUCCCUAGCUGGUCUGAGAGGAUGACCAGCCACACUGGAACUGAGACACGGUCCAGACUCCUACGGGAGGCAGCAGUGGGGAAUAUUGCACAAUGGGCGCAAGCCUGAUGCAGCCAUGCCGCGUGUAUGAAGAAGGCCUUCGGGUUGUAAAGUACUUUCAGCGGGGAGGAAGGGAGUAAAGUUAAUACCUUU
rnacentral:rRNA from 1 species